rfam:Nomascus leucogenys chromosome 19, whole genome shotgun sequence.
ACCAGACAUGGUGUUUUGUGCUUGUAGUUCCAGCUACUCAGGAGGCUGAGGCGGGGUGGAUCCCUUGGGUCCAGGGGUCCAGGAUUGUAGUGCGCUGUGCUCAUCAUGUGUCCUCACUAAGUUUGGCAUCAAUAUGGUGACCUCCUGGAAGCAGGGGACUGCUGGAUUGCAUAAGGAAGCGUAAACUGGCCCACAUCAGAAAUGAAACAGGUCUAAACUCCCAUGCUGAUCAGUAGUGGGAUGGUGUCUAGGAAAAGCCACUGCACUCAAGACUGGGGCAACAUAGUGAUACCCUGUA